GAUGGAAAGCAGAGCCAUAUGUUUUAGUUAUAUUUUUUUGCUGCUGUGACUAAAAGACUGACCAGGACAAUUUUAGGGGAGGAAAAGUCUAGGUAGGGGCUCAAGGUUUCAGGGUUCAAGCUGAGGUUGAACAUCAUAGUGGAAGAGUGUGGCAGAGGGAAGUGGCUCACAUCAUAAUCAGUAAGCAGAGAGAAAGAGAAAGAGAGACUCUUCUGGCCAAAUAUAAAGUAUAUACCGCAACAGCACACUUCUGGUAACCCACCUCCUCUAGCCAUACCCUACCCACCACCAGUUACCACUCAUUGAAUCCCAUCAGGGGAUUAAUUCACUAAUUGGGUUAAGGCUCUCAAAACCCAAUCAUUUCUUCUCUAAACCUUCAUUCAUUGUCUCACACAUGAGCUUUUGGGGCACACUUCACAUCUGAACCAUAACACCACACUAUAGGCAAUGUCAGUGGUUCUCAACAUUGGCUGUACAAAUAUAUCUCUAUUUUUCACACGUUAGGGGUUUGGGUAGAAGCACUUAAGUUUUAAAAGUCCACAGGUGAUUCUAAUCUUCAGCAAAGCUGAAAAUCAUUGUUCAAGCUCUUAAAUAUCUGAGUGAUAUUAAAUGUAUAAGUCACUGAAAUUUAUUGCUAAUGCAAAAACUUUGUUUGCCUAAGUCUUUAAUAACUUUCCCAACUGAUGUGUGUGCCUGUUGAAUUUUUAGUAUAAACAUAAAUAGGAUGUGAAUGAAAUAUUAGUUUGAACCACGUGAAGCAGGCUGUUUGACUAUUUUAAACUAAUAACCAGUGUGGUUUCUUGUGCUUCAAACUAAUAAAUGAUAAGCAGCAGUUAAGCAGAGGUUUCUGAUUCUAGUGGAAUAUUUAUUAAAAUCACCUGGGAUACUUUUGAAAAAAUUGCAGUUCUCAAUAAAAUGGCCAAAAUAAAAAAACAGGAAAUACCAAUUCCUGUUAAGACCGUGAAGCAGUAAGGACUCAUAUUGCUGCUGGUGUGUAAAUGGAUGCAACCUCUUUGGAACAACUCUUGACAUAUUAAGCUCAACAUCCUCUUGUCUCAUGACCUAGCAAUUCUACUUUUACAUGUAUGCUGUGUUCUCUAAAAGACACAUAUAAGAACGUUUAUGGCUGCAUUGUUUUUAUAUAUAUUUAUAUUUUAUAUUUCCCAAGUGGGAAAUAUAAAAUAUUCAUCAAUAAUAGAUUAGAUAAAUAAAUCAUGAUAUAACCAAAUAGUCCUAAAGAGCAGGAGUCAAUAAAAUGUUGCCGCUAUGACCACUAGGCACCACCUAUUUAAGAGCUAUGUGUGAUUUACAUUUUUAAAUGUUGGGAGAAAAAGCAUAAUAUUUUGCAACACCUGGAAUUUAUAUACAAGUAAGUACAUGAUGUCUUCAGUUUUUCUUCUUCACCUACAAAGCAUAAAGUGCCAUCCCUCAAUGUUACCAUAUGAAUGAGAAGCAGGUUCCUCAGGAGGAGGGAAUUAGACAAGACUUUGAAUACAGAAAGUAGGGGACCCUGGUAGCCAUCUUAGAGGCUGCAUACAAGCAGAAUGUUGAGUGAAAAAAAAUCAGACAAAAAAGAAUAUAUUAUAGUGCUUCCAUUUAUAUGAAAUUUAAAAACCAGACAGAGCUAAUUGAUACCAUUAGAAAUCGGUAUAGUAGUUCCCAUACUAUGGAAAGGGAAUUUCAGGGAAGAACAGCAAGCUCUGGAAGCAUGCCUCACAGGGACACAUGCGAUGGUGUCCUUGGUUGUUAUGCGAUUUACAAACAUGUAUACUGUUUGUGAGCACAUACUGAGCUAUAUACAUAUGAUUUGUGCAAGUUUAUUUGUGCAUUAGAGCCCAACAAAAUUUUGAAAAGGAAUAAAUGCUUAAAUUCCACGAGAUAUGAUAAAUGAUCCAUUUACCAUCCACUCUUUAAUUUUCUGUGCCUUCUCGGGUUCUUUCUUUGCCAGAAAAGUGGCCGUUCUAUUCAAUUUCAUUUAACAAGUGUGUUUGGGGGACCUACUAUUAGCCAGGUAUUCAUCUAGGUACUUGGUAUAUAUGGUAGACUACAUCUCUAGAAGAAGGUCUAAAAAUUUACACCACAUCAGUUGAUCUUUUAAAAAGUAAAUUAUUUGGGUUGGCCUAAAAUUAUCAUAUCUUCCCUUAGAACCAGAGAUCUUUCUCCAGCUGGUAGCAGAAAAUGAUGGUAAAAGAGGAACUACAAAAAAUCCUAGGCAUGAGAAGUAAUCAGCACUCUUUACUCCUUAAAAAUGAAGGGAGCAAAAUGUAUGAUAUGUCAAGAUCAUUGUAAUGUUUUGAGCAACUAAUAAAAUUUUUUUUAAAAAAAUGAAGGGAGCAACAUGAGAAGGGAUGCACUUGGCCACUGAGGUAGCAGAAGCAUUGGUUCUGUGGGUAUCAGGAGCUGGAUUCUGCCAACAACAUGAAUGAGCCUGCAAGAGAAUCCUUCCCCAGAUGCUUCAGAUAAGAGUCUAUGUAAAUCAAUGGAUGUGUAACUGAUGUGAUUCUGCAAUUUGUAUACGGGGUAAAAAUGGUAGUUCAUAACCCACUUGAAUCAAAGUGUGAAAUAUGAUAUAUCAAGAACUAUGUAAUGUUUUGAACAACCAACAAUAAAAAAUUAAAAAAAAAAAAAGAGUCUAAGCCAGCUGACGCCUUGAUUUAGGUUUUGUAUACACUUAGCAGAGAACCCUGAUGAGCCCUCCCAGAUGUCUGAGUUCCAGGACUAGGAACUAACAAAGAGCCAUUGUUUUAGGUUGCUAACUUUGUGAUAAUUUGUUAUGCAGCAAUAGAAAUGAAUACAGGACACAUCCUGUACAAAACAGACUGUAAUCCUGGCCAUAUUUUUGUGGGUUGAGACAGUUAAAAACAAUGAUAAUAUUAAUAAUACCAAUAUUGACCAAGUAAAUCAGAUUCUGUGGGUAGAACUUCCACUCCCCAGAUUUCUCCCUCUUUUUUCAAGUUCUUCAAAUGUUUAUAUCUUCUAUUUUGCAAAAUCGUUAUUAAGAGAGCACAAUGCCUGGUAAGAAGAGACACAUUUGACAUUUCUCUCUCGUGUGUUCUAGUAAGCUCUCACUGAAUCUUGUCAUGUUCCUUUGCAACAUGCCUCUUGAACGAAGGCUUCUCCGUUCUCUCUGCCACCAUCCUGUGGAAGUCAGACAGACCUGGAUUCAGUGCCUGGUCCCGGUGAGAAUGAGUUACUUCUCCC
rnacentral:lncRNA from 1 species